CGUCAGGGAGCCGAGAUGCGGUUGCUAGGAGCUCUCGCCUCGUCGCUAGGGGACGCUGGAGAUGCCGCCGGGGGCGGGGGAAAAGGGACCAGGGACAGCAGAUGCACUGGACCAACCUGAAGAACAAUAAGGCUGCUGUCACUCAGCCAUGCCACCCUCUUCACCACCAAGUCCCAGCUCGCCAGGCCGGGGCCUUCUCCUCGGCACCAACUCAUGGGUACUUCCCGGAUGACCAGCCAAAUAUCACAAACCCGUCUCCACCAAACCCAUUUCUUCUUCCAGAAUCCUCAUCCAGGUUGAUGGCAGCAUCACUUACCUGGGUGCCAAGUGUGCCACUUGAGGGUUAACCCUUGAUGUUCAGCUCCACAUGCGAUCAAAACCCAAGUCAUGGCCCCUUUACCCUCUUUCCACAUCCCCCAGGUCCAAGGCAGCUCCACUGGGGGCCGCUCCACGGGGAGUUAAGGUGGUGCCAUGGUGCCGUGAUGCCAUGGCUAGGAGUGGGUUUCCAGGAUCGGACGGACCUGGGUUUGAAGCCUGUUCUACCACUGACUCACUCUGUGACCCUGGGCAAGCUAUUUCACUUCUCUGAGACUCAGUUUCCUUUCUGUGAAAUAGGAGUCAUAAUAGUACCUACUUCUUGGGGCUGUUGAGAAUUUAACUGGCAUGGUCAAUAUAGAGUGCUUUGCUUGGGCCUGUUCAGUUAGUGAUGAAUUUUACCUGCUGGUAUGAGUUCAUCCCCAUCUCUCACCUAUACCCCCCACACCGAGGCUGUGGCCUCCUUACCGUACCCCCCACCGCCUAAUCCAUCCACCACCUUGUUCCCAGGGAGGUUGAAAAUGCAAACCUGAUCAUCCGGCUUCUUGGCUUGCCAUCUCUCUGUGGCUCUCCUGGAACCACCAGAGGAUGACACAGGUAGUCCUUCUGGAAUCGAUCCCCUCUACUACCUCUAACCCUGUCCCCCAGCUCUGCACCCUGCACACAUGCUCCAUGCUCGGACCUCGGCUGCUUCCUUCAGGACCCUAAUCAUUGGUGCCUGGUGCCCUUUCACGUGCUCGCCAUCUGCCGGGAAGAUUUUAUGCCUCAACUUCAACUCCUAUUUUUACCUAAAAAAUUUCUUUUCAUCUCACGAAACCUAGAUUGGGCCUUCAUAUCUAUGACGUCCUCCAAGCACCCUGCUCCCCUGCUUUAUCCCUCCACUUUCCUGGUAACCCCUGUGUGGUUAUUUAUUCCCUUCUAUGACACCCUUCUCCAUCUUAGUGCCCAGCAUCCAGCACAGGUCUGACACCUAGUAUAUCCAAAGACUUUGGUUGAGUGAUUGAACAAAACCAGCCAAUGUCUCCCAAUGGCCCUGAAUGUGUCAGCAGGUCUCAGGGACACUCUGCCUUUCCUCAAGUCCCCUGUUCUCUGUGUUUCCUAGAUAUGGAGAGGAACAGACACAUAUGCCACACAUGCACACUCAUCCCCACACGUGCACACACACACUCAUAAGCAUGUGCAUGCGCACACACACACACUUUCUCAUUGUCGUCUCCUCCUUCAGCCUCUAGAUCUGUGCUGCCCGUUGUGGUAACCCCUAACCACAUUUAGCUCUUGAGUGCUUAAAAUGCGGCUAGUCUGAAUUGACAUGGGUUGUAAGUAUAAAAUAUACACUGAACUUUGAAGGUUUGUUUGCAAAAAAAAAAAAAAAGAAUCUAAAAUAUCUUAAUUUUAUAU